rnacentral:rRNA from 1 species
CGACGGGUAGCCGGCCUGAGAGGGCGACCGGCCACAUUGGGACUGAGAUACGGCCCAGACUCCUACGGGAGGCAGCAGUGGGGAAUAUUGCACAAUGGGCGCAAGCCUGAUGCAGCGACGCCGCGUGCGGGAUGACGGCCUUCGGGUUGUAAACCGCUUUUGACUGGGAGCAAGCCCUUCGGGGUGAGUGUACCUUUCGAAUAAGCACCGGCUAACUACGUGCCAGCAGCCGCGGUAAUACGUAGGGUGCAAGCGUUAUCCGGAAUUAUUGGGCGUAAAGAGCUCGUAGGCGGUUCGUCGCGUCCGGUGUGAAAGUCCAUCGCUUAACGGUGGAUCCGCGCCGGGUACGGGCGGGCUUGAGUGCGGUAGGGGAGACUGGAAUUCCCGGUGUAACGGUGGAAUGUGUAGAUAUCGGGAAGAACACCAAUGGCGAAGGCAGGUCUCUGGGCCGUCACUGACGCUGAGGAGCGAAAGCGUGGGGAGCGAACAGGAUUAGAUACCCUGGUAGUCCACGCCGUAAACGGUGGAUGCUGGAUGUGGGGACCAUUCCACGGUCUCCGUGUCGGAGCCAACGCGUUAAGCAUCCCGCCUGGGGAGUACGGCCGCAAGGCUAAAACUCAAAGAAAUUGACGGGGGCCCGCACAAGCGGCGGAGCAUGCGGAUUAAUUCGAUGCAACGCGAAGAACCUUACCUGGGCUUGACAUGUUCCCGACAGCCCCAGAGAUGGGGCCUCCCUUCGGGGCGGGUUCACAGGUGGUGCAUGGUCGUCGUCAGCUCGUGUCGUGAGAUGUUGGGUUAAGUCCCGCAACGAGCGCAACCCUCGCCCUGUGUUGCCAGCACGUCGUGGUGGGAACUCACGGGGGACCGCCGGGGUCAACUCGGAGGAAGGUGGGGAUGACGUCAGAUCAUCAUGCCCCUUACGUCCAGGGCUUCACGCAUGCUACAAUGGCCGGUACAACGGGAUGCGACA